GCCUGGGUGGCUCAGUUGGUUGAGCAUCUGACUUCAGCUCAGGUCACGAUCUCACAGCUCGUGAGUUCCAGCCGCGCAUCAGGCU
rnacentral:tRNA from 1 species